rnacentral:rRNA from 1 species
UACGUAGGGGGCAAGCGUUGUCCGGAAUCAUUGGGCGUAAAGAGCGUGUAGGCGGCUCGAUAAGUCUGCUGUGAAAGUCCAGGGCUCAACCCUGGAAAGCCGGUGGAUACUGUCGGGCUAGAGUCCGGAAGAGGCGAGUGGAAUUCCUGGUGUAGCGGUGGAAUGCGCAGAUAUCAGGAGGAACACCGAUGGCGAAGGCAGCUCGCUGGGACGGUACUGACGCUGAGGCCCGAAAGCGUGGGGAGCGAACAGG